GGAGAGAUCUGAAAAUGGCGAUGAGGAGCUUUUUCAACGAGAUCAGGGGAAUGAAGGUGAAAGACGUGCCGAAGCACGUGAAGCCGAUGGUGACGACAAGCAACGCCAAGAAUUUCAUCCAGCGAGCAUUGGAUAAUUACCAUGCCAAAUACAUUCAGACCGACUCCAUCGUUCCGCUCUAUCACGUCUGCUUUGGUGGCAUGAUCUUCUCUUACCUUGUCGCCCUUCCUGAGGAGCGUCGUCAUCUUGAGCACCAGCAACAUGCCAAAGGCCAUUGAGUUGCUCAUCCGAUUCAGGUUUUGGGAGGGGGCCAUUUGAAUAAAUGAAUUUUCGUUUAUUGGUUGGUGUAUGCGUGAAAGAAGGAAAAACAAAACGCAUGUUGUUUGGACAUCAUUUCUAAUCAUUAAACCUUCCUGUUCAUUUGUUUACUUUGUUUGACAUCGUUUCUUUUUGUUAAACCAAACUUACUAAGGAUACAACAUACUAUGUAUGUUGAGAUAAAACUUCUAAACUUUCUUAUCAUGAAUAAUAUAUAUGCAUUUGUUUACAUGUCACAAGCCAGUGUACAAUAUGCAAGUUAUGAUAUAAUCCUUAAAAAGAAGGGAAAAACUACAUUCUUAAAAGAGUAGAUUACACGGUUUGUCCUUUAACGUUACACCAACUUGUUGCGUGUGUCCUUUGUCUUUAGAAAUUAGUCAAAUUACACCAAAUGUCCUUUAUUUAAAACUUUUGCACACCACAGGUUAUUUACACCAACCUCUAUCCAUUUUCUUGGUUAAAACCAAUCAUGUGCCCCUCAUGUGAUAGGCAAAACUGUCAUUUUAUUAUUUAUACGUAAAUUACAUGUAUU
rnacentral:lncRNA from 1 species